rnacentral:lncRNA from 1 species
GGUUAUCCAAGGACAUGGAAAAGCCAACACCAUGGUAGCAUUAAUGAAAGUUUACCAAGAGGAAGAUGAAGCCUACCAGGAAUUAGUUACCAUGGCAACCAUGUUUUUCCAGUACUUACUGCAGCCAUUUAGGGCUAUGCGAGAAGUUGCAACUUUAUAAUUCCUUGGAUGAGGAUGACGUAGGUCCUACGUCUCCAGGAUAGUUGCCCUGGAGAAAGAAGCUGAAGAAUGGACCAGACGGGCUGAAGAAGCUGUUGUCUCUAUUCAAGAUAUCACAGUGAAUUAUUUUAAUUAGACAGUAAAAGCAUUAGCAGGAAUGCAGAAAGAAAUGGAACAGGAUGUGAAGAGAUUUGGCCAGGCUGCCUGGGCCACAGCAAUUCCCAGGUUGGAAAAACUUAAGCUAAUGCUAGCUCAAGAGACUCUGCAACUCAUGAGAGCGAAAGAAUUGUAUUUAAAUCGCAAAAGAGCUGAAAUUCAGGGAAAGAUGGAAGAUCUUCCAGAACAAGAAAAAAAUAUAAAUGUUGUAGAUGAAUUAGAAAUGCAAUUUUAUGAAAUUCAGUUAGAACUAUAUGAAGUUAAAUUUGAGAUAUUAAAAAACGAAGAAAUACUGCUUACUACACAGUUGGACUCUCUUAAAAGACUUAUAAAA